UACGUAGGGGGCAAGCGUUGGUCCGGAUUUAUUGGGCGUAAAGAGCGUGUAGGCGGUCAGGUAGGUCCGUUGUGAAAACUCGAGGCUCAACCUCGAGACGCCGAUGGAAACCAUCUGGCUAGAGUCCGGAAGAGGAGAGUGGAAUUCCUGGUGUAGCGGUGAAAUGCGCAGAUAUCAGGAAGAACACCCGUGGCUAAGGCGGCUCUCUAGUACGGUACUGACGCUGAGACGCGAAAGCGUGGGGAGCGAACAGG
rnacentral:rRNA from 1 species